UCCUAGCAUAGCAUGCUGUACAAGCACAGGGUGAAAGACCAUCCCUGCCCUGAACAGCUUACCCUCUAAAAAGACAAGGUGGAGAAGGGGUGAAGUUUCCAAGCAUGAAGGGUCACCACAAUACUACAUCCUCAUACGACUGUUAUGACAGCCACCACACUUAGUGAGCUCCAUUUUGUGUUCUCAUCUACUUCAACUGUUUUCACAUCUCUACCAUCAAAUCUUGGGCAUUGAAGAAUCUGGACCAUCAGACUCAUUUGGCAAGCCAGACCCAGGGCUGGCCCUUUGUCUCUUACCACCAGGUCCUCAAGGAAGGGUGUAAGUAUGCAGAUUUAAGAGCUUGUGCAAAGAAUGAUACCACUGAUAUCCCCAAUACUGUACUACUCCUGUCUUUUUAUGUAGC